ensembl:lncRNA
CAGAGAAUGAAUCUAGUACUGAAAGCAUAAGCUACAGCUAGCUAACACUGCAGUGCAUAAAAUGUGAUGAGUAGCUGGCUCAAAGUGAGAGAAAGACAAUAGUUGAACAGCUUUGAACAAAUUAAUUUCUUUAAAAAAUGAAGGAGAAGCAAGAGAGAGAGAGAGAGCUAGAUAUAUUUCAUUGUAUUACAGUAUUUUUUUCACUUUCACUUAGCUAGCGAAUGCAGCUAGCUAGUUUAGCCUACUCAAACACCCGGCUCAAACAGAGAGGGGUGCUAUCUAUGUUAGUAACCUGGCUAUGGUUAUCCAACACUGGAACUCUUCCAAGUCAAGGUCACAGACAGCUGAUGUGUUGUGCACUGAAGUCCACAAGUAAGGGAAAAAGUGAGAGAAGGAGAGCGCGUAGAUGUGAGAAGGAAUUAUACAAUCAUGCAGUUUGUAUGUGGUUAUGAAAGUGAACUGUUUGUGUGUGAUCAGGGAUGUAGGGGGAGUGGCUUCCAUCUGACCACUCUACCAUAAAGGCCUGAUUGUUGACGUGCUACAGAGAUGAUUGUCCUUCUGGAAGGUUCUCCUAUCUCCACAGAACAAAUGAGUCAAUGGAAAGAUGUGGGGUGAUGAAAGAGAGCCAUGCCACCACCACUCAGAGCAGCCAGGGCCAGAAGAGGAAGAGGAAGAGGUGCCAGCUCUGCCCACCACUCAGAGCAACCAGGGCCAGAAGAGGAUGAGGAAGAGGUGCCAGCUCUGCCCACCACUCAGAGCAGCCAGGGCCAGAAGAGGAAGAGGUGCCAGCUCUGCCCACCACUCAGAGCAGCCAGGGCCAGAAGAGGAAGAGGAAGAGGUUCCAGCUCUGCCCAAGUGCAAAGGAUAGAAAAGCCAGCUGCUGGUGUUCAGGUCUCAGUGCAACACACCCGUCUGCAAACAUGUUUUUGGUUUGGAACAAAUGCAUGGACUAAGACAGCAUACGUAAGCAUCACACACACAUGUUUUUCCUUUUGGUGUUCAUGUUUUAUAAAUUCACAAUUGUUAGUUUUGUCAUUUACAUUGAU